rnacentral:rRNA from 1 species
UUAAACUAGGGAUUAGAUACCCUAUUAUUAAAAUUUAAAUUAAUAAUACUAAAAUAGUAAAUAAUUAUUUAUUGAAACUUAAGUAAUUUGGCGGUAUUUUAGUUCAUUUAGAGGAAUCUGUUUAAUAAUUGAUAAUCCACGAAUAAAUUUACUUAAUUUAUUAUUUUGUAUAUCGUUGUUAAAAAAAUAUUUUUUAAUAAUAAUAAUAUUUAAAAAUUUUAAUUAAAAAUUAAAUCAGAUCAAGAUGCAGAUUAUAAUUAAGAAUAUAAUGGAUUACAAUAAAUUUAUUUAAAUGAAUAUUAAUUUGUAAUAUAUAAUUGAAGGUGGAUUUAAAUGUAA